rnacentral:snoRNA from 1 species
UUCCGUGCUUUUUGUUUAAUUUGUGGGCAAAGACUUGUGGACAAAAAAAAAUACUUUUGCAACUCAAAAUUCGUUGUUCAGUUCAAGAGUUCUGACACAUGUAAGAAAGAAUAUU